CGUUCCCGGGCCUUGUACACACCGCCCGUCAAGUCACGAAAGUUGGUAACACCCGAGGCCGGUGGCCUAACCCCUUGUGGGAGGGAGCUGUCGAAGGUGGGACUGGCGAUUGGGACU
rnacentral:rRNA from 1 species